UCCCGUGUGGUCUAGCGGUUAGGAUUCGUGGUUUUCACCCACGCGGCCCGGGUUCGACUCCCGGCACGGGAA
rnacentral:tRNA from 1 species